rnacentral:rRNA from 1 species
AGGACGAACGCUGGCGGCGUGCUUAACACAUGCAAGUCGAGCGGGAAAGGCCCUUCGGGGUACUCGAGCGGCGAACGGGUGAGUAACACGUGAGUAACCUGCCCCUAGCUCUGGGAUAGCUCCGGGAAACCGGGAUUAAUACCAGAUACGACCGACUUUAGACAUCUGUCGUGGUGGAAAGGAUUCCGGCUAGGGAUGGGCUCGCGGCCUAGUCAGCUUGUUGGUGGGGUAACGCCUACCAAGGCGACGACGGGUA